rnacentral:rRNA from 1 species
UACGGAGGGGGCUAGCGUUGUUCGGAAUUACUGGGCGUAAAGGGCGCGCAGGCGGCUGCUCAAGUCAGGCGUGAAAGGCCUGGGCUCAACCCGGGAAUUGCGCUUGAGACUGGGCUGGCUUGAGUGCGGGAGAGGAUGGUGGAAUUCCCAGUGUAGAGGUGAAAUUCGUAGAUAUCGGGAGGAAUACCGAUGGCGAAGGCAGGUCUCUGGGCUGACACUGACGCUCAUGCACGAAAGCGUGGGGAGCAAACAGG